CGUAGGGUGCGAGCGUUGUCCGGAAUUAUUGGGCGUAAAGGGCUCGUAGGCGGUUUGUCGCGUCGGAAGUGAAAACACGGGGGCUUAACUCUGUGCUGGCUUUCGAUACGGGCAGACUAGAGGGAUGCAGGGGAGAACGGAAUUCCUGGUGUAGCGGUGAAAUGCGCAGAUAUCAGGAGGAACACCGGUGGCGAAGGCGGUUCUCUGGGCAUUCCCUGACGCUGAGGAGCGAAAGUGUGGGGAGCGAACAGGAUUAGAUACCCUGGUAGUCCACACCGUAAACGUUGGGCGCUAGGUGUGGGAUCCAUUCCACGGGUUCCGUGCCGCAGCUAACGCAUUAAGCGCCCCGCCUGGGGAGUACGGCCGCAAGGCUA
rnacentral:rRNA from 1 species